GUCUCAAACUCCUGGGUUCAAGCAGUCCUCUCUCCUCGGCCUCCCAAAGUGUUGGCAUGACAGGCAUGAGCCGCUACACCCGACCUAUAAUUCUGGCUAUAUCAUUCCUUGGUCAACCACCUUCAAUGGCACCCUCUUGCCUACUGAAAGAAAACAUGGUGUCGACUCCCAAGAUGGACUCAAUGGACGUGUCACUUGCCAGAACUUCAAUCUUGAAUUCAUCCAUCACAUAUUUCCAGAACUGGGAGGACUUGAUGCUGAAGGGGUCAAAGAACUACAAAUGGAUAGCAUAUCGAGACUGACCUGGGGGCAAGAAUCAUGUCACACAGUAACCUCCUCCCGGACUAAGCCCUUCGGUACGAUGCCCAAGGCACAUAGGAUAAGAUCCAGGGCAUCACCUCCCUCUCGGGCUGGGCACUGCCACACCGCAGCCGGACCUGCUUUGUACUCACUAUGGUUCCUCUAGCAUUAAGACAUCUGAGUACCCGGCACACCAAGGAACACAUGUACCUACUGCAUCAGUAUCUUGGGUAUCUGCUGCCCGGAAGGACACCUCGCCUUUAUUACCACCACCUG